CCUACGGGCGGCAGCAGUGGGGAAUAUUGGGCAAUGGGCGCAAGCCUGACCCAGCAACGCCGCGUGAAGGAAGAAGGCUUUCGGGUUGUAAACUUCUUUUCUGAGGGACGCAGAAAGUGACGGUACCCCUUGAAUAAGCCACGGCUAACUACGUGCCAGCAGCCGCGGUAAUACGUAGGUGGCAAGCGUUGUCCGGAUUUACUGGGUGUAAAGGGCGUGCAGCCGGAGAGACAAGUCAGAUGUGAAAUCCACGGGCUCAACCCGUGAACUGCAUUUGAAACUGUUUCCCUUGAGUGUCGGAGAGGUAAUCGGAAUGCCGUGUGUAGCGGUGAAAUGCGUAGAUAUAAGGAAGAACACCAGUGGCGAAGGCGGAUUACUGGACGAUAACUGACGGUGAGGCGCGAAAGCGUGGGGAGCAAACAGGAUUAGAUACCCGUGUAGUC
rnacentral:rRNA from 1 species